AGGACGAACGCUGGCGGCGUGCUUAACACAUGCAAGUCGAGCGGUGAUCCUCCUUCGGGAGGUGAUCAGCGGCGAACGGGUGAGUAACACGUGGGCAACCUGCCCCUCACACUGGGAUAACCUCGGGAAACCGGGGCUAAUACCGGAUACGACCUCGAGCGGCAUCUCUUGAGGUGGAAAGCUCCGACGGUGAGGGAUGGGCCCGCGGCCUAUCAGCUUGUUGGUGGGGUAAUGGCCUACCAAGGCGACGACGGGUAGCCGGCCUGAGAGGGCGACCGGCCACACUGGGACUGAGACACGGCCCAGACUCCUACGGGAGGCAGCAGUGGGGAAUAUUGCGCAAUGGGCGAAAGCCUGACGCAGCGACGCCGCGUGAGGGAUGAAGGCCUUCGGGUUGUAAACCUCUUCAGCAGGGACGAAGCGAAGUGACGGUACCUGCAGAAGAAGCACCGGCUAACUACGCGCCAGCAGCCGCGGUAA
rnacentral:rRNA from 1 species